ensembl:snRNA U1 U1 spliceosomal RNA
GUACUUACCUGGCAAGGGAGAUAGCAUGAUCACAAAAGUGUUUUUCCCAGGGUCAGGCUUAUCCAUUGACUCCAAAUGUGCUGACCCUUGGAAUUUCCCCAAAUGUGGGAAACUUGACUGCAUAAUUUGUGGUAGUGGGGCACCCUGUUCAUGUGUCACCUUA